CAGUAGCCGCGGUAAUACGGAGGGUGCAAGCGUUAUCCGGAUUUAUUGGGUUUAAAGGGUCCGUAGGCGGACUUAUAAGUCAGUGGUGAAAGCCUGUCGCUUAACGAUAGAACUGCCAUUGAUACUGUAAGUCUUGAGUAUAUUUGAGGUAGCUGGAAUAAGUAGUGUAGCGGUGAAAUGCAUAGAUAUUACUUAGAACACCAAUUGCGAAGUCAGGUUACCAAGAUAUAACUGACGCUGAGGGACGAAAGCGUGGGUAGCGAACAGGAUUAGAUACCCCCGUAGUCCCUGUCUCUUAUAU
rnacentral:rRNA from 1 species